GUGUUGAGCGAAGGGAGGGAGGGCUUGCUCGCCCCUCGGCAAGAAGGGAAGCGCUUGUCAGGCCAGCCGUGCGCGCACGGUGGCCUCAAGGCAGGGCCACCUACCCGUGGCUUUCCGAAGUCCUGUCUGU
ensembl:snRNA